rnacentral:rRNA from 1 species
AACGAACGCUGGCGGCAUGCCUAACACAUGCAAGUCGAACGAGACCUUCGGGUCUAGUGGCGCACGGGUGCGUAACGCGUGGGAACCUGCCCUUAGGUUCGGAAUAACUCCCCGAAAGGGGUGCUAAUACCGGAUAAUGUCUUCGGACCAAAGAUUUAUCGCCUUUGGAUGGGCCCGCGUUGGAUUAGCUAGUUGGUAGGGUAAAAGCCUACCAAGGCGACGAUCCAUAGCUGGUCUGAGAGGAUGAUCAGCUACACUGGGACUGAGACACGGCCCAGACUCCUACGGGAGGGAGCAGUAGGGAAUAUUGGACGAUGGGCGAAAGCCUGAUCCAGCAAUGCCGCGUGAGUGAUGAAGGCCUUAGGGUUGUAAAGCUCUUUUACCCGGGAUGAUAAUGACAGUACCGGGAGAAUAAGCUCCGGCUAACUCCGUG